rnacentral:rRNA from 1 species
GGGGGGGGGGGGGGGGGGGGGGGGGGGGGGGGGGGGGAGGGGGGGCGGGGGGUGGGGGGGCGCACGGGGGCGGAGGGCGUGGGAGGCGGGGCUUAGGUUCGGCAUAGCGCCGCGAAGGGGGGGCUAGUGCCGGAUAAUGUCUUCGGACCAAAGAUUUCUCGCUUUUGGAUGGGCCCGCGUUGGAUUAGCUCGUUGGUAGUGUAAAAGCCUACCAAGGCGACGAUCCAUAGCUGGUCUGAGAGGAUGCUCAGCCACACUGGGACUGAGACACGGACCAGACUCCUACGGGAGGCAGCAGUGGGGAAUAGUGGACAAUGGGCGAAAGCCUGAUCCAGCAAUGCAGAGUGAGUGAUGAAGGCCUUAGGGUGGUAAAGCUCUUUUACCCGGGAUGAUAAUGACAGUACCGGGAGAAUAAGCGCCGGCUAACUCCGUG